rnacentral:pre_miRNA from 1 species
AGAAGGGCCUCAUCCAAAGCCCACUGAAAUCAAUGGGAGUCUUCCCAUGAAUCUCAACGGGCUUUGGAUCAGGCCCAGAGUCU